UGGGGAAUAUUGCACAAUGGGCGCAAGCCUGAUGCAGCCAUGCCGCGUGUGUGAAGAAGGCCUUCGGGUUGUAAAGCACUUUCAGCGGGGAGGAAGGCGAUAAGGUUAAUAACCUUGUCGAUUGACGUUACCCGCAGAAGAAGCACCGGCUAACUCCGUGCCAGCAGCCGCGGUAAUACGGAGGGUGCAAGCGUUAAUCGGAAUUACUGGGCGUAAAGCGCACGCAGGCGGUCUGUCAAGUCGGAUGUGAAAUCCCCGGGCUCAACCUGGGAACUGCAUUCGAAACUGGCAGGCUAGAGUCUUGUAGAGGGGGGUAGAAUUCCAGGUGUAGCGGUGAAAUGCGUAGAGAUCUGGAGGAAUACCGGUGGCGAAGUCGGCCCCCUGGACAAAGACUGACGCUCAGGUGCGAAAGCGUGGGGAGCAAACAGG
rnacentral:rRNA from 1 species